ACCUCUGCACAGUGGCAAUAUCGUAACCAGUGAGGUAUAACUGAGGUGCGAUUAUUGAUAGUUGAAAACGUUUAGCAAUACUCCGGCAGAGAGAUGGGAAACACAAUCCCCGUGGCAAUUCUUGUUAGCUGCUAUGGGAC